AUCGAGAGAGUAUUUGUAUUGUCGUAAGACAAUGUUUCAAAAUGAGGAUUUGAAGUUGUUUACACAGAGCAAGAUCCAUUUCCCGCAACGAGGGGAUUGACCUACGCCCAAUUAGGUUCUCCACAAAAGAAGCUCGCAACCCUACCAUCAACCACAUACCACAUGCCCCUUACUAGGUUAGUCAAGAAACUGUGAAGAAAUUUUAUUCAAGUCAAGUACAACUGAUGAUGAUGAUGGAUUUUUUUCGUCUCAAAAUAAAUCUAGCUCAUGAAUUAACUAGAGUCGAAUUUCCCUAAGGUUUUAAUGUCGUGACUACUCAAGUUAUGAAAAGCGUUAAUUGAUUAAACAGGUUUUGUGGUGUAGGUAUCCACGAUCUCUAAAACUAUCAAUUAUUCUAAUUGAUAGUGUUAGAAUUUGUGGUGAUUGUCUAUCUCUGUCUGCAUGCUGAGUGAAUAUUAGCUUGUUCGUGCUUCAUUCCCGUGUGGUUUCGUGUUUUGGCAUUAUCUCUCUAGACCUGUUCAGUUGGACCGUUUCGGUCCAUUAUUUAUUACGAAAGACAAUCUUGCUUGCUUACUUGCUUUUGGAAAGUUUGAAUUGUGUCGAUAGACCAUUAUUUAUUAAGAAAGAUCAUACUUUUAUCUACUGAGCAGGAGUAAUUUUGUUGAAGAUCAACAACAUAAAGGGAGUCAGCUAAAGAAGAUGGAGGGAUGGAGGUCAACUAUAAUUGGGUCAAACUAACUAUCAGUGAGGGUAUAUGUAUAAUUACAGUGUAAUAUUAAUCUUACCAUACCAAAUAAGAAUUUCAGUAUUUUCUUCGACCAAUAUCAA
rnacentral:lncRNA from 1 species